rnacentral:rRNA from 1 species
AACGCGAAGAACCUUACCUGGGCUCGAAAUGGAGUGGACCGCGGCAGAAACGUCGCUUCCCAGCAAUGGGCUGCUCUAUAGGUGCUGCAUGGCUGUCGUCAGCUCGUGUCGUGAGAUGUUGGGUUAAGUCCCGCAACGAGCGCAACCCUUACCUCCAGUUGCCAUCAUUCAGUUGGGCACUCUGGCGGAACCGCCUCGGAUAACGGGGAGGAAGGUGGGGAUGACGUCAAGUCCUCAUGGCCUUUAUGUCCAGGGCUACACACGUGCUACAAUGGCCGGUACAAACCGUCGCAAACCCGCGAGGGGGAGCUAAUCGGAAAAAGCCGGCCUCAGUUCGGAUCGCAGUCUGCAACUCGACUGCGUGAAGCUGGAAUCGCUAGUAAUCGCGGAUCAGAAUGCCGCGGUGAAUACGUUCCCGGGCCUUGUACACACCGCUCGUC